GAAACUAAACAGCAUCUCUGACUAAUGCAUCAAGUAGAACUCUUUUCAGUGCCGUCACAACACUACCAGCACCAGCAGGAGCCGGACCUGCGACACCAGCCAGCAGCAGAGAAGUGUUUUUUAGGAACCUGAUGAGGAUGGCACUGCAGAAUUCCACAGCUAUGACGCAGAAAAAUCUCAGCACUACUAAAACUCGACCAGUUCGGCGUCUGCAACAGUGACCACCUUUGCACAGAAAAUGCUGAAUUUUUUUCCCACAGGAAGAUAGUGACCAUCAAACCAAGGCAAGUGGCUGGCUCUAAACUGUGCGAUCCAGUGUACUUGUAAGCAUAGUUUACAUGGAUCUUCUCCUUUGAACUGCCAUAUAAUAAAGGAGAGCAUCAAGUAGCAUGACAGAAGAGCAGCACAGUUAUCAAACAAACUGGGACCACAUCAGUGGGAUAUCAUUACAUGCUAUUGAUUUAGGCUUCACUGCCAGCAAGAUACCUAGACAGCCACAUCAUAUUGUUUCAGAGGGUUACCUUAGGAGUUUCUAUGUGACCCUUAAUUGAUCUGUAACAUUGCCAAUUUGUUUUUCUUUUUAGAAAGCGGCCCUAAUAUUGUUAUUGUUGCAGUGUUAGAAAGUCACACUAGUCCUACACCCAUGAUCAACUGAUACUGUUGUAGAUCUAGACUUGGGUCAGAAUUCAGUGCAAUCAGUUCAUGUAUCAGGGGCCUGGUUCUUCAAAUUCCUGGCACAUGGUAUUUUCAAAGAGUUUAUCCAAAAAGGGAAGUUUUGAAACCCAGGACUGGGUGUGGUUACCAGUUAGAUUUUCUUCUCCAGUUUUCAUGUGUGUAUGUAAGUUAAUCAUUUGUGUUUGCUGCUUAAACACAUACGUAUAUGAACACACCUACCUAAGUUAUGAUACCACUGUCAAAGUAAUAUUCUGUUG